rnacentral:rRNA from 1 species
AGAAUCAACGCUGGCGGCGUGCCUAACACAUGCAAGUCGAACGAGAAAGUGGUAGCAAUACCAUGAGUAAAGUGGCGCACGGGUGAGUAACACGUGACUAACCUACCCUUGAGUGGGGGAUAACUGAGGGAAACCUUAGCUAAUACCGCAUAAUACCCACGGGUCAAAGGAGCAAUUCGCUCGAGGAGGGGUCGCGGCCGAUUAGUUAGUUGGCGGGGUAAUGGCCCACCAAGACGAUGAUCGGUA